rnacentral:rRNA from 1 species
UGGGGAAUUUUGGACAAUGGGGGCAACCCUGAUCCAGCCAUGCCGCGUGAGUGAAGAAGGCCUUCGGGUUGUAAAGCUCUUUCGGCCGGAACGAAAUCGGCAACGUGAAUAACGUUGCUGGAUGACGGUACUGGAAGAAGAAGCACCGGCUAACUACGUGCCAGCAGCCGCGGUAAUACGUAGGGUGCGAGCGUUAAUCGGAAUUACUGGGCGUAAAGCGUGCGCAAGCGGUUUCGCAAGUCAGAUGUGAAAUCCCCGGGCUUAACCUGGGAACUGCGUUUGAAACUACGGAGCUAGAGUGUGGCAGAGGGGGGUGGAAUUCCACGUGUAGCAGUGAAAUGCGUAGAUAUGUGGAGGAACACCGAUGGCGAAGGCAGCCCCCUGGGCUAACACUGACGCUCAGGCACGAAAGCGUGGGGAGCAAACA